GAUUAACGCUGGCGGCGUGCCUAACACAUGCAAGUCGAACGGGGGUAGCAAUACUCCAGUGGCAGACGGGUGAGUAACGCGUGACCAACCUACCCGAGAGUGGGGAAUAACUAGCCGAAAGGUUAGCUAAUACCGCAUGAUACGUAGCGGGGCAUCCCGCAACGUUGAAAGGAGCAAUCCGCUCGCGGACGGGGUCGCGUCCGAUUAGCUAGUUGGUGGGGUAACGGCCUACCAAGGCACCGAUCGGUAGCUGGUUUGAGAGAGCGACCAGCCACAC
rnacentral:rRNA from 1 species